CUUCUCUCUCUUGGUAGGUCAGUCAUUAAAAAUGUCAUUCUACCAAUACAAAAAAGAGAGGAAGAUGUCAACAAAUUAAAAAGAAAAGUGUGUUAAAACAGACCCUGCAUUAUUGUUAUCGGUUCAAGUUAAGCAGAGGGUUCACUGGUAAAUUUGCUCCUCCCCUGGAAUAGGAUCUGAUUUGCUGCAACAUCUCCUUUUGCAGCUCGCUCUCUCUACCUACAGGCUACAAACAUCAGAUCAAUUUAUUUAUUGGUUUUCUUUAAUUUAUUUAUUAUUACUCUAACUAAAUAACUUGUAGGGCAUUCUCAAGAAGUAAAUACAAACACAGACAUUCAGAAAAAAGAGAGAGAGAGAAGAAGAAAAUUUUCUCUGUCAGAUUUCCAUUGCUACCUUCCUCCACUGCUCCUUUCUUAAUUCAUGAACUAGUUUAUUUGAUGUUCAUGUGCACCCACAUCUUCACUAAUCAUCUUCCUUAUGUAACUCACUUGAGCUAUCUAACUAAUCUUCCCUCACAUCUAUGGAUUUUUAGAUUUGAAUCUAAGAAGCCUCAAUCUAUGUUAGAAUGGGAAAGUAGUUAUGUGGAGGAAGUCAUCUGACUUUCUUAUACAAUUGUAGCAAGUUCUUUCAUUAGUAAAUUGACUUUCUUAAUAUAUCUAGUGCCUCUGCCUGAUUUCCAUUCAACCUGUUCAGAUUUACAAUGGAACUUCUUCAUAUUCUGGCAAUGAUCAUUUCACUGAUACUAAUUGCUAGGAUCAGCUCAUGUCUCGAUACUGCUGUUUCAAGUGAAGUGUCCAAGCUGCUAAACAAUCUCAAGAUGUGCAAUUACUUCUCCAUACGUGCAGUGUCCAUGCAUGCACCUUAUCUUGACAAAUAUGUUACAAAAUCCUACUUUAGGAAACAUGACAAUUUGGUGGACUUGAAGUUUGAAGAUUUUAUUGCACAUGACGUACUGUCCAGCGCAUGUGUAUCACUGCAAGACAACAUCAAAUUUGCACCAAAACUAUUAGCUUUACAUUGAAAUCUGAUUGGUGAAGGCUCCCACAGGCGUCUGUCAUCAUCUCUCAGAUUGAAGAUGUCAUCGGAGUCCGUUUCCAGGCCUCCAAAAUCUUGUGAGGUGAUAAUUGUUGAAAGACUGCCUUCUGGAGUCUUUGCAGAUCCUUUUGAGCUACAACACCUUGUGCAGCGUGGUGUUCUUAGGGAAGCUGCUGUAUUUGGAGAUACAAAUUUAGAGUCGAAUUUGCUGCACCUGACUUGCAACACUAUAGGAAAACACCAUGACAUGAGCUGUUUGUUUUCGCUAGACAAACAAAGUGCUGAAUCAAAUGAUGGUCAUCCGUUGUGGGAAGUAGACAACACGUGGAAAUUGUAUCUGCUUUUACUUUCAUCUCAGCUGUUGUAUCAGCUCUUCUCAUCAUUGUUGCCUCAAUUAGGUAUUCUGGUGAAACAGCAUUGAAACAGCCGUGAGUAAUGAUUAACUUUGGCAACCCAUUCUUUCCCCUUUCUGGAAUAACCAUUGGCAAGAGAAACUCACUUGAUGUUAGUUACAAGUUACAACACUGAACAUUGGCAGACGGAGAAGGAGCAGGGCUCUGGAUGUUGCUCCACUAACACUUAUGUGGGUUGUAUGGAGAGAAAGUAGAGAAGAAUUAUGUACAGUUGAGGAGUCGUCUCUUAUCCUCAUUUCCUUUUGGUGCACCCAUGAGAUCUCUCUAGCUAUAGAAGAUUGAGUGUAGUAUGUCGAAAAUCUUAUUUUGUGUAGGUUUUCUACUUUUUGGCAUACUUACUGUAUGAGAGUCAAUUGUUUUUGCCCAAACAUUAAUAAAUCUUAGUAUUACUUUAUCAAAUACAAGGUAUACUCUUGAACGCGUCUCAAAUAAUGCAUGCCGAUGGUAUAAGCAAAUUCA